AUAAAUCCAAUUAAUAAUCGAUAUAUUAUUAAAUUACAUUUUUAUUACAGCCAUAAUCAGUACAGUGCAAAACAUGAUUACAUACCUUAAUAACAAAAGAAGUUUCCUUAUUUUUUUGGGACAAAGGCCCUUAGGCACUUAAAAUUUGUCUUAAUGAUCAUGGUCGAAGUUAAUUUCUUUUACUAAAUCAAAUAAAUUCUUCAAAUUCUCAAACUAGCUGGAGAAAGUGUAGAAAGCUUAUAUAAGUAUUAAACUAAUAUUCUACGUACUCUCUCUUAAACAUUACUAAAAACAUACUUAUGAUAUUUAGUCUUGAUAGUAAAUAUAAAAAUAUUAUUAAAUUUACCAUUACUAUGCUAGUUUUUUUUUCUAAAUUUUAAUAUUAAUAAUUUGAAAUGUAGUUAAUAAAUCUCGUAUUAACUACCCAUUAAUUAUCAUUUAGUUUUAUAAAAUACUUAGUUUGGUUGUUCCCUUUGUAGUAAGAUCAUAUGAUGAUUAAAGAAAUUUCCAACAUGCUCAUCAGGCUUCCACCUUCCAUGAUCAUAACAGCAGAUAAUAAUGGUACUGAAACUUUUGUUAGCAAACAACCCACCAACAGGUUUAUUUAAUUUUAUAAUUAAUAGUACAUGCCCGAGUGGUUGCAAAUAUAUAAAGAGAGUUAUGAAAGUUUUACAUCAAACCCCCUACUGAUGGCGUAAUCCACGAAACCAUGAAACUCGCCUAAGUCGAUGAAGCCAUCUCCAUUAGUAUCAUAAUGGGUGAGCACACGGCCGGCUCUAUAACCAGGGAAAAAUCCACCAAGUUCACUGAAAGCUUCACUUAUCUCUUCCCUGCUCAGACGAUUGUCUUUGUUCUUAUCAAAUCGACUGAAUAGUUUCCUUAACUGCACAUCAGAAACUGGAACUCCUUUGUAUCUUACAAAAAAACCCAUCUUAAUUUUGGAUUAGGGUUUAGGUAGGUACUGGACUGAGGAUCAGUUUGUGCUGUGGCUUUGUAGACAUGGCAGACAAUGGUUUUAUAGAACAUCUUCACUGUGUCACUUAAGCUUCACAUUGUUCCUUCUUAUCUUCGUUAUCUUUAUUCUUUGAGGGAUACAAAUGUUGAUUCCACGCAUUUCAUCAAGAAAAGUUUCAAUAAAGUUAGUCUCACAUAUAUUAUGAGUCAAAUUAUUUUAAAAUAUUACUCUCUUUAUUUUAUAUUUUUUUUUUUCAUUUUAUUUUUUUAUACAUGUUAAAAAAUAUAAUUUUUUUAUUAUUUUUUAAUUAUAUUUAUUUUAAAUAUAUUAAUUUUAUUAAACACUAAAAAAUAUUUUGAAAUAUUUUUUAAAAAUAAAUUAAAAUAAAAUAGCGUUAUAAUCGAUUUAACUUUCCAAGAUGGAUAAUGGGAAUCGAUUUUGGGUGGCAACAAUUGCAACUCAAGGAAUCCGGAAAAUGCAAAAUGACUGAAAUUAUUGAAUUUUUCUUAAGAGAAAAGAAUGUUUUUUAAAAAAAAGGUUAUAAAUAAAUUGAUUAUUUUUGAGUGGAGUAACGUGAUACACGAGAAGUGAGGUCAACAGUCCAGAUCAUUUUUAGGCACUAAUGACGUCAUAAAUGUGGUCUCAUUUUGAGAUGUAUACAUAUAUAACAAUUACAUUUUUAUCAAUCCAGAAAUCUGCAAUAAUAUAUAUAUAAAUUUGAUUUUAUUUUUAUUUUUUAUUAUUAAAUAAAAAAUUUAAAGGAUCGAAAAUUCAAACUCAGUUCUGUCAUACAAGUGUUAUAAUUUAUUUAUGUGCAGGCUUACACCUUUAAUUAAAAUAUAUAAGCUUAAAAGAGAGGAUAAAUAUUUGUAGGAAAACCCUCUUAUAUUAAGCAUAGGCACCAAAACAUAUUAUUUGUAUAAUUUGAAACUAUGAUAAAAUUUAAUUAUAAAAAGAAAAAAAAAAUGAAUGCAUGAUGCAAAGCAUCAAGAAUAAAGUAGUACUUCAAAUUAAAGAUAUGUAGUAUAUUUUCUUUUCAAGCGGGAAAGAGACUUAAAAAGAUGUCAUGUUAAACUUAUUAAUAAUAAUUGAAAUUCACAUUUAUAUAAUUAAAAAAUUUCAGUUUUAAUCUAUGUUUUAAAUAAAAAUUAUAGAGAGAUUUAUUAUUUAGUUUCUAAAUAUUAUUAUUAUUAAAAAAUUGAUUCUUAAUUUUAAAAAAUUUAUUAAAAUAUUUAUUUAUCAAUAAAAUAAUUAUUUUAUUUAAUUUUAUUUAUUUUUAUAAUUAAAAAUAUAGUAAAAAAUUAAAUUAUUUUUUUAAAAAAAUUAUUUUAUUGAUGAAUAAAAAAAAUAAACAUAUUUUAAUAAAUUUUAAAAAAUAUAAAUAUCAAUUUAUUAAUGAUGAUAAUAUUUAAAAAUUAAAUGAUAAAUUUUUUUAAAUUAUAAAACUUGAAUGUAAUUUUUGUUAAAAGUAAGGGUAGAAAAGAGAGUAGAGAAGCAAGACAAGAAGUAAUAGCUGCUAAAAAAAACUUAUUUGAAGUGUUUGUAUCAUACAUAUAUAGGUUUUUUUACAAAAUUACUUAAAUACCCCUACUUAUUUUUUAAAAUUGAAGGGGCCAUGACCCUUGCACCCGCCUCUUAAGAUACUAUUAUUAUACGUCUAAUAAUUUAUAAAUAUUAAUAAUUGAUUAUUUAUAUGAAAUUUAUAAUAAUUAAUUUUUAUAAUAAAAUUGUUAUAUGGGGUUUCAGAUUCUAUUUUCUACUUUUUACUUUUUAAUUUUUAAUUUUUAAUUUUCAAUUUCCAAUUUCCAAUUUCCCUUUUAAAAACAUAGUUGCACCAUAAAAUUUAUCAUGUAUGAAUUAAUAACUGAAAACAUUAUAUUACAGUAAAAAAUCAAGCAUCUAUAUCUAAUAUGGUAAGAUUCAGCAGUAAUUUAAGAAUUGCUUAGCUCUAGCAGUUUUACUUUUUUCUUGAAAUUUUUAAGUUCUAAACUUCUAAUCAUUUAAAUGUUUAUUGUCUCCCUUAGAUGUUUUAUAUUUAAUAUGAAUUUAUUAAUUAAGAUUAAUGUAUAAAAAUCAUGUUAUGUCAUUUAGAUUUAUUUUAACAUCUAAAAAUAUUAUACAAAUAUGAAUAAUUUAUUGGAAUUACAAAGUAUAUAUUAUAUAUUUAUUGAAAAGAAUUAAUCAUGAAAAUACAAAAAAAAAAAGAUUUUUCUUUUCUGUUUAUAAUUACUCUUUCUGAUUGUGUGAGAGAAUAUUCAAAUUAUUUUAUAGUUCAAAUUUAAUUAAUUAACAUUUUUUAUAAUAACUACAACAAUAGCCAUAGCAUGGUUUUACAAACUAGUAAAAUUUUAAUAUUGAACGAGUCGUUGCUCAAAACUCAUCCACAUGAAUUAAUCUUGUUGCUUCCUACUUUGCUCUGCAAUUUUGUACAUUGCAGUGCAAAAGUUCUCCAAAAAUAGUGCCAGUCACUUCAAAAGCUUAACCACGUUGUGAAUUUGGCUUCUGAAGAAGUGGAGAACAUGGCUUCGGUAUCAGUUGUGCAGCUUCUGAUGAAAAAACUACAUGCUAUAUAUCCUCAGUGAUAAAGAAGUUAAUAAUCCAAGAUUGAAUAAGCAAAUUAGCUGCGUUAUGGAGAAAUUAAAAGAGCUUCAUGCAGACUUGAGAGUUGAACAAUUUGUUCAACAAAUCAAAUAAUGCAUGUGUCACCCACCUAUAAAGAGAAGCAGAAAUAAAAAUGGUGAUCAACAAUAUACAACUCAAUUUGAAAAAGUAUUUCAAAUAAACAUGUGGAACUUCUAAACCUGUUCAAAAGAAACCGUGCAUCCUAUUAAACAAGCAUUUCAAAAGAAUUACUUAUGCUCUCUUUGCCGAUCAAUAUGCCUUGGAUGAAAUAUUUAUGCAUCCCAAAAUUAAACUAGCCAAUUCAAAAGCUAAACCAAACAUUUCAGAUGAACAGUUUAAGUAUGUAUCUGAGCCGAGCAAUUCAGAAGCUAACCCAGAUUUUUCAGAUGAACAAUUUGAACGUACUCUUUAACACCAGCACUUCAGAAGUUAAGCCAAGCGUUUCAGACCAACAAUUUGUGCAUUCUCCUGAAUCAAGCAGUUAAAAAGCUAAACCAGUUAAGAAUAUUACGUACUUUCUCUUAAGCAUUACUAAAAAUAUAUUCAUAAUACUUAUUCUUGAUAGUAAAUAUAAAAAUAUUCAAAAUAUUAUUAAAUUUACCAUUACUAUGCUUAUUUUUUUUUUUUAAUUUUAAUAUUAAUAAUUUGAAAUGUAGUUAAUAAAUCUCGUAUUAACUACCCAUUAAUUAUCAUUUAGUUUUAUAAAAUACUUAGUUUAGUUGUUCCCUUUGUAGUAAGAUCAUAUGAUUGGAUAAUAGUUCCUUCUUCUUAUAUUUUUUGCACCUCAAAAAGUGUAUAUCUAUCAUUCAAGAUUCCUGAGCUAAUAUCGCGUCCUCCCUAUUUUAAUUAACAAAACUGCAGCCAACGAUCAUAUGAUGAUUAAAGAAAUUUCCAACAUGCUCAUCAGGCUUCCACCUUCCAUGAUCAUAACAGCAGAUAAUAAUGGUACUGAAACUUUUGUUAGCAAACAACCCACCAACAGGUUUAUUUAAUUUUGUAAUUAAUAGUACAUGCCCGAGUGGUUGCAAAUAUAUAAAGAGAGUUAUCAACGUUUUACAUCAAACCCCCUACUGAUGGCGUAAUCCACGAAACCAUGAAACUCACCUAAGUCGAUGAAGCCAUCCUCAUUAGUAUCAUAAUGGGUGAGCACACGGCCGGCUCUAUAAUCAGGGAAAAAUCCACCAAGUUCACUGAAAGCUUCACUUAUCUCUUCCCUGCUCAGACGAUUGUCUUUGUUCUUGUCAAAUCGACUGAAUAGUUUCCUUAACUGCACAUCAGAAACUGGAACUCCUUUGUAUCUUACAAAAAUUCUCAUCUUAAUUUUGAUUAGGGUUUAGGUAGGUACUGGACUGAGGAUCAGUUUGUGCUGUGGCUUUGUAGACAUGGCAGACAAUGGUUUUAUAGAACAUCUUCACUGUGUCACUUAAGCUUCACAUUGUUCCUUCUUAUCUUCGUUAUCUUUAUUCUUUGAGGGAUACAAAUGUUGAUUCCACGCAUUUCAUCAAGAAAAGUUUCAAUAAAGUUAGUCUCACAUAUAUUAUGAGUCAAAUUAUUUUAAAAUAUUACUCUCUUUAUUUUAUAUUUUUUUUUUUCAUUUUAUUUUUUUAUACAUGUUAAAAAAUAUAAUUUUUUUAUUAUUU
rnacentral:lncRNA from 1 species